rnacentral:rRNA from 1 species
UACGUAGGGGCCGAGCGUUGUCCGGAGUUACUGGGCGUAAAGCGCGCGCAGGCGGCGCAUCGCGCCCGGCGUGAAAGCCCCCGGCUCAACCGGGGAGGGUCGUCGGGGACGGGUGCGCUUGAGGACGGCAGGGGCAGGUGGAAUUCCCGGUGUAGUGGUGAAAUGCGUAGAGAUCGGGAGGAACACCAGUGGCGAAGGCGAAUACCUGGCCUGUUCUUGACGCUGAGGCGCGAAAGCUAGGGGAGCAAACGGG